rnacentral:rRNA from 1 species
UACGGGGGGGCAAGCGUUGUUCGGAAUUACUGGGCGGUAAAGGGCUCGUAGGUGGCCAACUAAGUCAGACGUGAAAUCCCUCAGCUUAACUGGGGAACUGCGUCUGAUACUGGAUGGCUUGAGAUUGGGAGAGGGAUGCGGAAUUCCAGGUGUAGCGGUGAAAUGCGUAGAUAUCUGGAGGAACACCGGUGGCGAAGGCGGCAUCCUGGACCAACACUGACACUGAGGAGC